UGUUGCGGCGGCUGUGCGCGGGCACGCUUCGGCGUGAUCGAGUUCUCCGAUGCUCGGUAUUCCUACCCCGCGUAUAGCUGCCACCUAA
rnacentral:antisense_RNA from 1 species